rnacentral:lncRNA from 1 species
UAAACACAAAAGUCUUGUUAGAAGACAUUUAUUUGGGAUGAGGAAAGGAAACUGAGGACAGGGUACAGGAGUAAUAGCAAUUCCCUGUAGCUCUCAAAGCAAAUUUUGAGCUCAUUUUUCUUUUUCUGCAAGCUCAGCAGCAGAAUGCCCAGAGUCUUCCCUGGUAGAUGCAGAAUGCCCAGAGUCUUCCCUGGUAGAUGCAGGUUCCAUAGCGACGUUCUCCUGCAAUGCACGCUGGUAUUCUGCAAUAGCAGGCCAUAGUCUUCCCUGGUAGAUGCAGGUUCCAUAGCGACGUUCUCCUGCAAUGCACGCUGGUAUUCUGCAAUAGCAGUCCAUGUUUUUCCUUGAGCCUGGGACAGGGAGAGCAUGAGAAAUUGAGUAUGGAGUUA